ACACUCCUGCGGGAGGCAGCAGUGGGGAAUAUUGGACAAUGGGCGCAAGCCUGAUCCAGCCAUGCCGCGUGAGUGAUGAAGGCCCUAGGGUUGUAAAGCUCUUUCACCGGUGAAGAUAAUGACGGUAACCGGAGAAGAAGCCCCGGCUAACUUCGUGCCAGCAGCCGCGGUAAUACGAAGGGGGCUAGCGUUGUUCGGAUUUACUGGGCGUAAAGCGCACGUAGGCGGACUAUUAAGUCAGGGGUGAAAUCCCGGGGCUCAACCCCUGAACUGCCUUUGAUACUGGUAGUCUUGAGUUCGAGAGAGGUGAGUGGAAUUCCGAGUGUAGAGGUGAAAUUCGUAGAUAUUCGGAGGAACACCAGUGGCGAAGGCGGCUCACUGGCUCGAUACUGACGCUGAGGUGCGAAAGCGUGGGGAGCAAACAGGAUUAGAAACCCCUGUAGUCCC
rnacentral:rRNA from 1 species